GGAGAGGUGGCUCAACGGUUAAGAGCUCUGGCUGCUCCUCCAGAGGACCUGGGUUUGGUUCCCAGUUCCCUCA
rnacentral:tRNA from 1 species